rnacentral:rRNA from 1 species
GACGAACGCUGGCGGCGCGCCUAACACAUACAAGUCGAACGGAGCUGCGAGAAGCUUGCUUUUCUUAGCUUAGUGGCGAACGGGUGAGUAACGCGUGAGUAACCUGCCCUGGAGUGGGGGACAACAGUUGGAAACGACUGCUAAUACCGCAUAAGCCCACGAUCCGGCAUCGGAUUGAGGGAAAAGGAUUUAUUCGCUUCAGGAUGGACUCGCGUCCAAUUAGCUAGUUGGUGAGGUAACGGCCCACCAAGGCGACGAUUGGUAGCCGGACUGAGAGGUUGAACGGCCACAUUGGGACUGAGACACGGCCCAGACUCCUACGGGAGGCAGCAGUGGGGGAUAUUGCACAAUGGGGGAAACCCUGAUGCAGCGACGCCGCGUGGAGGAAGAAGGUUUUCGGAUUGUAAACUCCUGUCGUUAGGGACGAUAAUGACGGUACCUAACAAGAAAGCACCGGCUAACUACGUG